ACUUAACAUAACAUAGUAAAUAUACAAAAGAAGAUGUGGUAUGAUUACCAAUGAGACAACUGUCCACAAGAGCCCAAAUGAACCAGAAAUUAACAACUAUAGGUCACCUUAUGGCCUUCAUCAAUGAGCAAAGCCCAUACCGCAUAGUCAGCUAUAAAAGGCCCUGAAAUGACAUAUGUAAAACAACUCGAGCAAGAAAACUAACGGCCUAAUUUAUGUACAAAAAUGAAUGAAAAACAAAACACAAAAACACAUGAACAAACAACAAGCACUGAAUAACAGGCUCCUACUCCUAGCUGACUUCAGACAGGCACAUACAUAUAGAAUGUGGCGGGGUUAAACAAGUUAGAUGCUGACUCAAGACAAUAAUAAUAUUAGCCUUUCCAUCCAUUCUGCCUCAAUUCAAAAAAAUUUGAACUGUAUUGUCCUCUUUGCAAUAAUAAAAGCA
rnacentral:lncRNA from 1 species